UUUAAUUCGAAGCAACGCGAAGAACCUUACCAGGUCUUGACAUCCUCUGACACUCCUAGAGAUAGGACGUUCCCCUUCGGGGGACAGAGUGACAGGUGGUGCAUGGUUGUCGUCAGCUCGUGUCGUGAGAUGUUGGGUUAAGUCCCGCAACGAGCGCAACCCUUGAUCUUAGUUGCCAGCAUUAAGUUGGGCACUCUAAGGUGACUGCCGGUGACAAACCGGAGGAAGGUGGGGAUGACGUCAAAUCAUCAUGCCCCUUAUGACCUGGGCUACACACGUGCUACAAUGGAUGGUACAAAGGGCAGCAAAACCGCGAGGUCGAGCAAAUCCCAUAAAACCAUUCUCAGUUCGGAUUGUAGGCUGCAACUCGCCUACAUGAAGCUGGAAUCGCUAGUAAUCGCGGAUCAGCAUGCCG
rnacentral:rRNA from 1 species